rnacentral:rRNA from 1 species
ACAAUGAUGACCGUAGUACUGGCGAAGGAAAUGGUCAAUAGUGCCCCUGAAGGCCGUUUCGGCCGAUGUUGGGUAGGAAUUGCAGUGUGCGGUACUCAAGGUCCACUGGAUUGUGGUGCCAAAGUGGUGAAAGCCCCGUACGAGUUGCCGCAAGCUCUCUUCCGUAUCGUGUAGCGCUACUUCAAAAUGUAGCGUGAACUGGGAGGUAAGGGCCUCCCAACACUUUUUGGAACUCUUCCGAUAGCAUAUAGUACCGUGAGGGAAAUGUGAAAAGACGGCUAUUAAGCCAGUGAGAAAGACCUUCAAAUCACAUCAGCAGAACGUUUGGGUAUCGAGAGAUAUUCAAACACCCGUCUUGUAACACGGACCAAGGAGUCAUUGGUUGUAGCAAAUUGAAGCGACAACGCAGAAGAUUUAGCUGUUCCCAAUGGACCCGAAAGGUGGUGAACUAUUUCUGAGAAGAUUGAAGCCAGUGGAAACGCUGGUAGAGGAUCUGUGUGAUACUGACGUGCAAUUCGUUCAUAUUACUUGGGAAUAGGGGCGAAAGACUAAUCGAACCACUUAGUAGCUGGUUUCUCUCGAAGUUUCUCCUAGGAUAGCGGACGAAUCACCUGUCAUGCGUUGUAGAGCAAUGUUUUGAGGAUACGGGGGCAAUCGCCCUUGACCUAGUCGCAAACUACGAAUGCGCAUCGUGGAAACUUGUUUCCACAUGGAAGGUUUCGUCUCGUGGACCGUUUUUGGUAAGCAGAUGCGGUGCUUUGGAAUGCUCCAAGCUUGAAGAAAAGGGAUAUUAUAGUUGUUUAUUUCUUUAAAAGGUGUUCAUACAUUUAGACAGUUCGACGGUGGCCAUGGAAGUAGGAACCCGCUAAGGAGUGUGUAACAACUCACGAACCGAAUGGAUGGGCCCUUAAAAUGGACUGUGUUUAAACGGCUACCCGUACCUUCAAAGCAAUUCGAAGAAUUGUUUGUAGAGAGACGUGGCUGUUGGGCUGAAGCGCCGCAUUGAUGCGGUGCGGACCUUCAGUCAGUGCUGAUCUUGGUAGCAGUAGCAAUAUUUUGGUUAUUACCAAAAGGCGUAUGAAGAUGAGGUUUCCGUGGGUACAUUAAAUGGCCGCGGGUGAGGCGAUCGUGAUAUUAAUUUUGAAAAGGUACUGGGUUGUUAUUCCCAGCCCACCGGUCUCAUGGCGGCGACGCCCAAAUAACAUCUUGUCUGGACGGGCCCGUUCAUCGGCGUUUUCUAUGCCCUUGAACUUCUUUUCACAAUGGACUAGUUUUACACUACGAAAUUGACAAAAGAUAGGAACCAUGUUUGUCACAGAACGUGGCCCGUACUGCGCUUUCUUCGAUGUUAUAAGAUGCCCGGUUGAUCGUACCAAUAACCGCAUCAGGUCUCUAGGGUUCGCAGCCCUUCGUUUGUGGAAAAAAAUAGGCUAGGGAAGUCGGCAAAAUAGAUCUGUAACCUUGGGAUAAGGAUUGGCUCUGCUAGCUAUUGCCUCGGUUUGAUGUUCUUUGAUGUGUGGUGGCUCGCUGUUGCGCAUGGGGAUCACUGAAUCGAGCAAUGUAUGCUACAGUAGAACUGAGACGACAAGGGGAAUCCGACAGUUUAACUAAAACCAAGCACCUUGCCUCGUUUAAGAUGUAUACAAGGUGUGAAUUCUGCCCGGUGCUUUGAAUGUCAAUGUGAGGAGACUCAUCUAAGCGCGGGUUAACGGCAGGCGUAACUAUGACGCUUUCAACGUAGCAAAAUGCCUCGUCAUGUAAUUUGUGACUCGCAUGAACGGAUUAAUGAGAUUCCUACUGUCCCUGUCUAUCUUCCAGCGAAUCUACAGCCAAGGGAACGGGCUUGGUUUUAACGGAACGGCAAGAAGACCCUGUUGAGGUUGACUCUAGCUAGUGUUUGUACAGUUGCGCAAGUGGCGUAGAGUAUGUGGGAGCUCCGGCAUCGAUGAAACACCACAACAUUUGAAGCGGCUGAACUUACUUGUUGAAUAUAUUUGGUAUUUAGUAUCACAGACGAAACGAGGACAUCCACUGGUUGGGAGUUUGGCUGGGGCGGUACAUCUGUUAAAUUUCACCACAGGUGUCCAAUGACUGUCUCAAUGAGAUCAGAAAUCUCAUGUAGACCAAAAGGGGAAAUGACAGUCUUAUCCCGUGCACUAGAAUCGCACGGAAUCGUGAAAGCGUGGCCUAUCGAUCCUUUCGGAAACCGGCUCCUUGGGCCGAGAGGUGCCUGAAAACUUACCACAGGGAUAACUGAUUUGUGGCAGCCAAGCGUCCAAAGCGACGUUGCUUUUUGAUCCUUCGAUGUCGGCUCUUCCUAUCAUGAAGUUGCAGAAGGCUUCAAGUGUUAGAUUGUUCACCUAUUAAAAGGGAUCGUGAGCUGGGCUCAGACCGUCGUGAGACAGGUUAGUUUUAUCCGUCCGUUAUGUGGAGAUGUCAGGUAGUGUGACCCAGUACGAGAGGAACUGUCACACAGGUUCAAUGGUGAGGUAAUCGGCCGAAAGGCCGGGUCACUAAGCUACAACCUCGGAUUCUGCGCUGAGUGCCUC